UGUAAUCAGUGAUGCAAGCUAAUAAUUUGUUUUGAUUUAAUGUGAAUGAACACAAUUAAUCACCAUCUUUCGGCUGAGAUUGCA